ACUGUGAUAGGUGCUGUGAACCUGGUGGGAAAGAAGAGACAUGUAGAGCAAUUAUCACAACACAGUACGGUCUGUGCCAUCAUCUUAAAGGUGGGCUGUCAGUGCUGGCCUAGGAGGCUCCCUCCUAAUCCCUGACUGCAAAAGAGCUCAGCUUGGUGCAGAAGACAAUAUACACCUCUAAGCCUUGGCGUCUUUCUCCCUCUGGUCUGACGAUGCUCAGUCCUGGCGAAAGGUGAAGAACUGGAGACAUAGAGGAUUGAAGAAGAGCAAGUCAUGAUCCAAAUCAAGUCUGAAACCUCUUUCUAUUGAUUGCCUUACCUGUCAGUAACUCAAUAAGCAACAUUGCCUCUUUCGAAAAUCAAUGAACGGAAAUGCUAUGAGGAAACAAAUUGAGAGAAAUCUUCAUUCUUGUAGGCAGAUGUCAAUCUUGCUGAUUUUCAAAUAAUGAAUCAUGAACACAGGAGGCUGAAACCAUCACCAUGAACACUGCUUGGGUACAGAAUUAAAGAGGAAUGUUGCAGAAAGAUGAAUGAGAGUCUUCACCCCAGAGGCAAUACAGUGAUGGACAAAUUCUUUUUUGAAAAUUGUAUUGGCUUGUUUGUUUAGAUCCUAUCUU